GCCUUUCGAAAGAAAGAUUAAUACCCGAUGGCAUAGUUCUUCCGCAUGGUGGAACUAUUAAAGAAUUUCGGUCAUCGAUGGGGAUGCGUUCCAUUAGGUUGUUGGCGGGGUAACGGCCCACCAAGCCUUCGAUGGAUAGGGGUUCUGAGAGGAAGGUCCCCCACAUUGGAACUGAGACACGGUCCAAACUCCUACGGGAGGCAGCAGUGAGGAAUAUUGGUCAAUGGACGAGAGUCUGAACCAGCCAAGUAGCGUGAAGGAUGACUGCCCUAUGGGUUGUAAACUUCUUUUAUACGGGAAUAAAGUGAGGCACGUGUGCCUUUUUGUAUGUACCGUAUGAAUAAGGAUCGGCUAACUCCGUGCCAGCAGCCGCGGUAAUACGGAGGAUCCGAGCGUUAUCCGGAUUUAUUGGGUUUAAAGGGAGCGUAGGCGGACGCUUAAGUCAGUUGUGAAAGUUUGCGGCUCAACCGUAAAAUUGCAGUUGAUACUGGGUGUCUUGAGUACAGUAGAGGCAGGCGGAAUUCGUGGUGUAGCGGUGAAAUGCUUAGAUAUCACGAAGAACUCCGAUUGCGAAGGCAGCUUGCUGGACUGUAA
rnacentral:rRNA from 1 species